rnacentral:tRNA from 1 species
UGAGGUGUUCUCCAGCGGCAACGAGAGCAGACUGUAAAUCUGCCGCCUUUCGGCUUCGUGGGUUGUUCCCGUUGGUCACGCGCAAGCGGAGCGAGUCCCUCCACCUCAA